rnacentral:rRNA from 1 species
UACGGGGGGGGCAAGCGUUGUUCGGAAUUACUGGGCGUAAAGGGCUCGUAGGUGGCCAACUAAGUCGGACGUGAAAUCCCUCAGCUUAACUGGGGAACUGCGUCCGAUACUGGAUGGCUUGAGUUUGGGAGAGGGAUGCGGAAUUCCAGGUGUAGCGGUGAAAUGCGUAGAUAUCUGGAGGAACACCGGUGGCGAAGGCGGCAUCCUGGGCCAACACUGACGCUGAGGCGCGAAAGCCGGGGGAGCAAACAGG